UAUAUACUGACACAGGAGCAUCUGGUUUCGUCCCUUCGGGGACAUCCGAUAAAAUUGGAACGAUACAGAGAAGAUUAGCAUGGCCCCUGCGCAAGGAUGACACGCACAAAUCGAGAAAUGGUCCAAAUUUUUUUUUUCCACAUUUUUGUUCUGGGUUUUGUUGGAAUCUGAGCACUCACAAUAUACAGAGAGACGGAAAAAUCAAGGUGACAGAGUGUAUUUAAGUUGGAGGAGGAUAAAGCGGUGUUUCCACACUCUCUGGAGUUCCAAACGAAUUGUCGGAAUCCCUAAGGCAAUGGGUCAAGGUAUACAGUAUGCGCACGUCAUGGGUUCGAACGCUGCCGCAAAGAAAAGCCUGGUAUCUAAGUGGGGAAGGGUAGGGACGCGAUCCACCAAGCUUUGAGUUGUGCAACACUGGCCCUUGGAGUUUUCUCAGUCAUCAAAAAAAGAAAAUGAAUCAAGGUAUAACUGCAUAUAUAUAAUGCUCAUUCUUGAAUAGAGUGAGAUUUGGCAUGCUACUAUUUGCAUGAAUAGUAACUUAAUUUACAAGCCUCUGAAAUUCUACAUGAUUAGUAACUUAGGCAGCAAAAAUUCUGAACCCAAAAUCUCCAGAUUUUGAUAAAUUCGUUUAGCUCUCACUUUACCUGUUGCUAUUCUCACAAUAUUUACCAACUGAAACAAAAAAAGGCAGCUCGGUGCACAAGAUAUCUGCAUUCACGUAGGGUUCGAGAAAGAGCCGCAUCUCAAAAGGUGUAUGUAGACAGCCUAUCCUAAUACAAGUAUUAAUGGCUUGCUUCCACGGAUUGAAUCCAUGACCUAUAGAUCUAACGAAAACAACUUUACGUUGCUCCAAAGCUCCCCUUCACUUACCAACUGAAACAAUUUCAGGAAAAUAUGAACAUGAACAAUAGUUAAUUCCCUGAAGAUCCGCUUAUUGGCUCAAGGAAAAGAAGAGAUGAAAAUAGAUAUGAGCGUUACACUAUGUUGAAUGCUGAUAUUAGUAAAUUUGAUUAUUAUACUAUUGAAUUUAUAUAUGUUAGAUGAGCGUUACACUAUUGUAUUUUCAAAAACAUUGAGAAGUGCAGAUGAGAAAAUUUGAAUGGUAGAUGGUACAUUUUUUUUCUUUA